AUGGACUCGCAAGACUCCUUAACCCCUGUGAACUUACUGUUUAUACGUUGCUUCGGCGGGUGCUCCGGGGUCCGCCCCGGGGCGCUACGCCCGCCGGCAGCCUACUUAAUUCUGUUUCUCUGCGUUGGCAUCUCGAGUAAGCAAAAUAAGUUA
rnacentral:misc_RNA from 1 species